GCUUACGGCCAUACCACCCUGAGAACGCCCGAUCUCGUCUGAUCUCGGAAGCUAAGACGGGUCGGGCCUGGUUAGUACUUGGAUGGGAGACCGCCUGGGAAUACCAGGUGCUGUAAGCU
ensembl:rRNA 5S_rRNA 5S ribosomal RNA